ensembl:lncRNA
CAAAAAUUGUAGAAUGAUUUUGUACUGUUCUGAAAGUCGGCAGAUUAGCGAGGAUAAAGUCCCUUCUGUGUGCCAACCACUGAUCAUGAAGUAUUCCAGAGAUGUUACACCUGAGUUUCAAAAUGAAGACACCUGAACACUGUAUAUUCUGCCACUUUCCCCCCUAACUGGUCCCCUCUUGGACUCCUGAAUGCAAUUUGUAAGAUGCAGCUGCAAAGCAUUUUUGGAGAAGUGUGCAUUGCUUUACGUAUAUUUUGCACACUGCCUGUGACUGUUGCUGGUGGCGAGAGCUUUCAGUAAGAUAAAACUACUAAACUAUUUGAGGUCCACUAUGUCCCAGGACAGGCUUUGCAGUCUUGCCAUGCUGUCCAUUGAAAGUCAGUUAGCUAGAAAGCUGGACUUCAAAGACUUGAUCAGUGACAUUGCUAGCAAGAAGGCUCGGCGCUGGGCUCUUGUUCUCACCACUGUUUAUCACUACCAAGCCGACAGUUCCAUUCCCCCGAGAUUAGAGGAACCUCGAAAGGACUCCCUGUCCUAUCAUAAGUUUCUCAGAGUUCUAGCCAGGACAAUGACCCAACACACCUCCAGGCUGUGUAAUCUGCUAUUUGAACAAGAAGGAAAGUGAUGGAGUGCUGCAUCAGAUGACCUGCCCUCCACAAUCACCCGUACUCAACUCAGUUGAGAUGGUUUGGGAUGAGUUGGACCACAGAGUGAAUGAAAAGCAGCCAACAAGUGCUCAGCAUAUGUGGGAAUUCCUUCAAGGCUGUAGGAAAAGCAUUCCAGGUGAAGCUGGUGGAGAACAACAUCUUCAAGAGGGCCAGGACAAAGAGGAGGCUGCCUCUGCUGCAGAUAGAACUCCUCCUUUCGUCCGGGGGGAGAGGUCGUCUACUCCACCUGCUCCCUGUCCCAGCUGCAGAACCAGUGCGUAGUGGAGCACGCCAUGCACCUGGCCCGGGAGGAACAUCAGCCUGCAGGUAGCUGACCUUCGACCCCUCACACACCUCUUUAAGGACACCUUCCACUUGGCUCCAGACCUCCACCUGCGACAGCUGGUCCUGCCCACACCACCACUAACUUUGGGCCCAUCUACAUGUACAAGCUGCAGAGGUUAAACUAGAACUGAUGGACGUGGAUUCACUUCAGUACCUUAUGUUAUUGAUCCCUUCGGUUCGACCUGAUUUAACCAGUUUUAAGUCAUUUUUCAAUGGACUUAUGCAUUUGUAUGCAGUGCUACCUUUGACCUCUAGGUGUCAGUAUUAGACAAUUAUACUAGUCCGAGCUCUCUGUAUUGAAAACAGGGCUCGAAGUUACUAGACCCAUAGAUUAGCUUUAAAUUAUUUUGAGGAUAAACUCAACCUACACUCGAAACAUUGCCCUGUCAAAUAAACAUAAUGUUUAUUUGUUUAUAGAUCAUUAUGCCCAGUCACUG